rfam:Picoides pubescens contig35229, whole genome shotgun sequence.
CCAAAGGCUCUUUUAAGAGCCACCCACUUAUUCUCAAAAAGAGCUG